ensembl:lncRNA
CAGUUUUAGAGUGAAUGGUUGGCGUUUACUCAUAGUUGACUCCUCUUUUACAGGGGACUCUGAUGAACCUGACCAUAUUCUAAUAUAAAUACUAAUUGUAAUCUUUGUAUAACAUGAUUAUUUAUUUCUAGCUCAAGUUUACCUCAGAAUUUAUGUUAACAUGGUGGAGAUACUAGUUCUCAAUCACAACUAGAUUUAGGUUAUUAAAAUAUUCUUGCAAUACUUCUUGCAGGUAUAAGCGUGUGACCAGUGUAUUCUGUAUAUUUAAUCUAUGCCAAAUGUGAAGCAAUCUAAACUGCUCCACGAACUAUAUUUAAAGUGCAUUCAAAGUGGACCUAAAUUUCAGUUAAAUAUUUCAACCAUAUUGUCACUAUGACUGAAGUCAGGCAAUUCAGAGUUCCUUGUUCGUUUCCGUCUCAGGGAAAAUCACAAAUGUGUGCUUUCUGGAAAGGACAAAAAUAAUCUAAAAAAAACAUUGCCAGUUUGGUAAAAAAAGAAAAAAAAAGAAAAAAGGUUUAGAACUUGCCCAAAGCCAAGCCAAAAUUACAGCGGUACUCUGGUAUUUUGUAUUGGAAAUCCCUGUUAAUUUAAAAGGAUGUUUGAAAAAGUUUUCAGGCCAUUUUGAAUGUCUCAGUAAAUCAAAGUGAAUGAUUUGUGGCAUAACCUCGAAGAUUUUCCCGAUUUUCCCACUUCCCCAGUGUUAGGAAAUUCAAAUGGCAUUCAACCCCUGUCUUAUGCAGUUUUCUUAAACACUGUAUACGCUGAUCUUAAGAAACAUUGUAUGUGUCAGUCACACACAGCGUGUGAUUGAGGAGCCUAGACUUACGUUUAUGUGUCAUCAAACGAUUGGUGAGAAUUAUUUUUAGCAUCUGGAUUUAUACUUUAGAGUGGUCUGUACCAUAAACAGACACAUGCACAUUUGUACUGCCAAAUCAAUCACUUGAAAUGCAUAAGACCUGCUCCAGCCUUGUAUAUUGUUCUUGUAUAUUUCCCCACAUAAUAAUAUAAUUGUUUUAUUCUCUAUUUGCAUGGUAGUUGAUGUUAGAGUAGAAUAGUGCCUUGUAGGCAUAGCAUUUCAGUUUGAAAAAGCUGAAAACAAAGCUGCUGAUUAGUAGUGAUAAGAAGUAUUCCAACUGAGUAUUGGCUGUGUCUACAGUUAUCCUUUUUUCUUUUAUUUGGGACUGGGUUAUUUCUUCCUUCCUUUUUUUUUUAUUUGUAUUUUUUUUAUUUUUAAAGAGAAAACAAGGCAUGUACCUUGUUCAGAAUCUAUACAAGUCUACCUCAGGAUGUUGAAAUUUAAGUGGACCUGGACUGAGUCUGCCCCUGUAACCAGUACAGUGUCCAAUUAAAUGUGUAAGUAAUGUGAAAGGUGUAUGUGUGUGUGUAUUUGUGUGUUUUGUGUGAGUGUGCAUGUUAUUUAGUUUAUAGUGCUAAACUUAUUUCAAGUGUAAUAGCAAAGUCAAGGUGUUGUGACUUGGAAUGCAAGUUCUUUUGCAAGAUAUCAGUGGCUUUAGAACAAAAGCUGAAAAAUGCUGUUAGAAAUUCACUUUGAGGUUAAAAUACACGCAGUAGUUUGUGUGAACCGCUUAGACAUUGUCUUAUCAUUUUCUCUGGAGAAGACAACAUUGCUAUCAGUGUAAAAACAAACAAAAAAAAUGUUCUCAGAAAAGUUAAUGGAUGGAAACAUUAAACAUGAGAAUUAGACCACCAUUAUUCCUAAACAAAUCAUGAGGAACAAUUUCAUAAACAUCAAAAUAUCUUUAAAUGUGCCUGUAAAAACUGCAUUGUGCACAAUGGGUACUUUUUCAAGCCAUCUACAAUAGAUACAAAUCCAAAAUCUAUACUUUGAAUUAAAAUGUCUUCUAAGUUCAUUAAUGUAUUUAAUGGCUUCACUCUGACAUGAUGUGUUUAAUAAUUGAUGCUCAUGGCUUUUCUUUAAAGCACAAGCAGGAAUCAUAUCUCAUUUAUAUAAUAUUCUUUGUGGUUGGAAUUGUGUGUUCGGAAUUUUAUGUUGCCGUCAAACCUGUGCAUUACAUUCAGUGUUCGGUGAAGUUUGAAAGAUCUAUUUUGUAUUCAAAUGACCAAAGAAUGUAGCCAUGUUGUGGCAAGCCAGUGGCUUCAUUAUGGAGCCCCAUCUGAAUGGCCUCAACAGUCACCCAAGUGCAUGGGUUCAGCUGUCAGCUUGAUCUUUUUCAACAUAUUGUGACAAAGCAUGCAAAGAAUGUUGUGACCAAGAAUGUUUUAG